rnacentral:rRNA from 1 species
CAGUCGCCGCGGGAAUACGGAGGGGGCUAGCGUUGUUCGGAAUUACUGGGCGUAAAGCGCACGUAGGCGGCUUUGUAAGUUAGAGGUGAAAGCCUGGAGCUCAACUCCAGAAUUGCCUUUAAGACUGCAUCGCUUGAACGUCGGAGAGGUGAGUGGAAUUCCGAGUGUAGAGGUGAAAUUCGUAGAUAUUCGGAAGAACACCAGUGGCGAAGGCGGCUCACUGGACGACUGUUGACGCUGAGGUACGAAAGCGUGGGGAGCAAACAGGAUUAGAGACCCCUGUAGUCCCUGUCUCUUAUAC